AGAUUGAACGCUAGCGGGAUGCUUUACACAUGCAAGUCGAACGGCAGCGCGGACUUCGGUCUGGCGGCGAGUGGCGAACGGGUGAGUAAUAUAUCGGAACGUGCCCAGUAGCGGGGGAUAACUACGCGAAAGCGUGGCUAAUACCGCAUACGCCCUACGGGGGAAAGGGGGGGAUCGCAAGACCUCUCACUAUUGGAGCGGCCGAUAUCAGAUUAGCUAGUUGGUGAGGUAAAGGCUCACCAAGGCGACGAUCUGUAGCUGGUUUGAGAGGACGACCAGCCACACUGGGACUGAGACACGGCCCAGACUCCUACGGGAGGCAGCAGUGGGAAUUUGGACAAUGGGGGAAACCUGAUCCAGCCAUCCCGCGUGUGCGAUGAAGGCCUUCGGUUGUAAGCACUUUAAGUGGUAGGAAGGCAGUUACCUAAUACGUAUCUGUUUGACGUUACGACAGAAUAAGCACGCUAACUCUGUGCCAGCAGCCGC
rnacentral:rRNA from 1 species